AGAGUUUGAUCCUGGCUCAGGAUGAACGCUAGCGGCAGGCUUAAUACAUGCAAGUCGAAUGUGGCAACACAUGGCGCACGGGUGCGUAACACGUAUGCAACCUACUCAGUACAGGAGGAUAACCAGCCGAAAGGUUGGAUAAUACUCCAUAACAUCACCGAAAAGCAUUUUUUGAUGAUUAAAGAUUUAUCGGUACUGAAUGGGCAUGCGUCCGAUUAGCUUGUUGGUGGGGUAACGGCCUACCAAGGCUUCCAUCGGUAGCUGGUCUGAGAGGACGAUCAGCCACACUGGGACUGAGACACGGCCCAGACUCCUACGGGAGGCAGCAGUGGGGAAUAUUGGGCAAUGGGGGCAACCCUGAACCAGCAACGCCGCGUGGAGGAUGAAGGCUUUCGGGUUGUAAACUCCUUUUGGUGGGGACGAGAUAGGACGGUACCCACCGAAUAAGUCACGGCUAACUACGUGCCAGCCGCCGCGGUAAUUC
rnacentral:rRNA from 1 species